UCCAAAGAUUCAGAUGACUGGUUGGGUAAAAGUCCUUCAGCAAAAUUCUGUGCUGUUCGUGCCAGAUGUGUGGAGGAAUUGAUUUGGUCACUGUAAGCAAAAUAGCUGCUCUUGGUUGAAGGGCUUGGUCUGUGUAGAACAGCAGAUUUCUUGCCAGGUUUCUCCUUCCAGCUCUUCCUCAAAACUCUUCCUGUGCCAUCCACUGACGCCUUUCUAGCCCCCAGUCAUCUGCUCGAAUCUCUAAAACAUGUGACUCAUGUUCCAUUUUUAUAUUCAUCUUCA